GUACCGCUUUAGAAGGGCCCUAGACAAACUUAAGCUAAGGAUUAAGGUUGCUGAAAGGCCAGGAAACCCUAUCAAAUCCCAAAUCAGUAGAACCUACCCUUUUAGUAGAACCCCCUGUACAGAUAGGAACUGUACUGUGUGUAGAUUUAUCCCACAAACAAAUUGUAAAGCCAGAAAUGUAGUCUAUAGUAUAAGAUGUACAGAGGGACAGUAACAAGACAAUGAUGUACGUAGGGGAAAUGGCACAGAGCAUAGGAGAGCAGGUAAAUGUACAUUGGAGAGAACUUAAGGAAGAAAAGAGCUCAUCGGUUCUGUACUAGUAUGCCAAGCAGGAACACGGGGGCUCACUCAACAACAUAGAAGUUAAAAUCUUGUCCACACAUAGAACAGAUGCAACAAUUAGACAAAUUACAGAAUGGUCACUACACACAUAAUAGAAGAUAAAUUUAGCCUGAAUAGGAAACUGGAAUGGAACACUGGCACACACCCCCAACACACCACAGCAUAUGACAGAAUAAGAUCCCCAUAAACUGAUAACAAUAUAAACAAAACUAAAAACAUAAUAAAAUACACAGAUAAAUAAACAAAUGGAAGUAAAUAACUAUAUACAUUAACA
rnacentral:lncRNA from 1 species